rnacentral:lncRNA from 1 species
GUUAUCCUCACAUCUCAAAGGCUUUUAUUUAAAUGGUACUUCAGGGAAUCUUGCCAAAUUAUUAUAAGUAGUUUUGUUUGGGGGUAUUUUUUGUUUGUUUUCCAGAAAACAGGAAAAGAUAGUUAACUUGACUCUUAUCCCGAGUUCCCUGAGUAUCUAUGAUUAUUGUAAUGUCAUCCAUGAAGAACUCAAUUCACAUUUUCCUCUGUACUUCUGGAAAACUGUAUCUCUGUAAUGUAGAGAAAGUUGAGAAUAGAAUCUCAGGUAUGUUAGGAUAACUCUUAGAAUAAGGAUCAACAACAAAUCAUCUGAAUAUCUUGACUUAAACAGAGAAAUGUGUUUUAAACGUGUGAAAUGAGGCCCCCACACUACAGUGACUACUAGGUUUCAACAUGAUCUUAUGUUUUAAGUUUUGACUAUAUCAAAAAAUAGUCCAAUUAAACAUAAAAUAUCAGGGUUUUUCUCAAAUACAUUAUGUUUUUAGGAUUUAUUCCCCCUUCCUUCAAAGUCAUGUUCAAAGUAUUUCAGGCUAUUUGCUUUUUACCCUAGAUAGGUUUUUAAGGGUCUUUUUUUGGUUCUUUUUUAAGAAAAAUAUUUUUGAAGUAGUUGUGUUACAGCUCACUCAGAUUCUAAUCACUAGUGUUAGGUCCACCAUUAUAGUACACUGAAAUGAC